CUCACAACAUAAAAGCUUAUUGAGGAAACACAUAAUGUUUUCCCUAAUAAAACAUUAUUAUUAUUGAAAAUUUAUCAUUAGUGACAAUUAUCAUGACAUGCUUGUUGAGAAGGAUAGCAUUUAUUUGGUUUAACCAAUUCACAACACCAUCGACUUGAUGGUUCAAAAGCCCUGAAGCAUGGAUCGGAAUCUUUUACCUCGACACGAAUACGUUCAUCGCCUGCAUUUCAUAAAAAAAAAAAAGACAUAUAAAAUCGGUUAAGUUUUAUAUACUAAUAAUUCAUAAUAAUUUUAAAAGUAUAAAAAUGAAUGUGAACAUACAUUGAUGGAGAGGUAACAAAGAAAAGAAAAUUAAGCAAAGUAGCAAAAUUGAUGAGAAGGAGAAUUUUGUAGUAGCCAUGAAAAAUAUGUUUUAAUAUUCAAAAC
rnacentral:lncRNA from 1 species